CCAGGCAGACAGUAGCACUAAGGCCAGUAACAACAUCUUUUUCUGGGCACCCUAUAUCACAAAGUACAGCUGGUGAGAUUGACAUGCUCUCCGUGUGAUGACAGUGCACAUUUAUGUCUACAUUGUGUGGUCACAAUUCCCUACGACUCAUUGUUAGGUCCUGUUGUAAUUGAUUAUGUAAUGAAAAGACUCUCAGCCAAGAAGCACAUAGAGAUUUGCUGUAAUACUAUUGCAAACUGGAAAACAGAGAAACAGGUGUCUGGAAAGAAAAUCAGAACAGAAAACAGAAUCUGAUGGAAGAAAAUGAAGAAACACAAGCUGUGAAUUCGACAUCUCUUGCCUCUCUUCCACUCCUUAUCUGAAUAUGUACACAGAAGCAUCUAUCCGGUUAGAGAUUAGAAUCCUCCAUGAAUGGUACUCGAAAUUCAAGCCACUUUGAAUACCAACAGUGGCCCCUCAGCAAAUCUCAGCAUGUUUGCCUCAAGGAACACAGUAACUCCCAACUUGGAGCUGCGGCGGGAGCCAAAAGUGAGUCCUGGAUGUACUCCAGGAAGGACUCAGCAUUCAUUAUGAGCUGCUUGGAGAAUGCAGAUGAGUAUGAGGAAACAAAUGGGGUGGAGCCCAAGGGGCGCUGGGGAGAGCAUUGAGGAUUGUUUUUCUCAUUUGCAAAUUUUCCAUCCUUGUAAGAAAUGUUUCAUUCACUAGGUGUGUGGCAAUCCAGUAGAUAAAUCAUCUUCCCUGGGGACCUGUGUCUAUGUAUAGAGUUUCAGAGGUGGGGCUGUUUACCUAGGAAGCUACCAAGAAUGAUCUUUUAAAGGUUGAAAUUCCCUAGAGGUUUUUUCCUCCUCGUUCCUACAUGACACAGUCAUCCCUUCAUAUCCGUGGGUUCCACGUCCACAGUCAGCCAAUUGUGAAUCAAAAAUAUUUUUUAAAUUGCAUGUGUUUUGAACAGGUACACUACAUUUUGCUUAUCAUUAUUCUGUAAACAAAAUAUUCCAUUGUAUUGUCUUAUAAAUAAUCUAGAGAUGAUUUUAACUGCACA
rnacentral:lncRNA from 1 species